GGGAGGCAGCAGUGGGGAAUCUUGGACAAUGGGCGCAAGCCUGAUCCAGCCAUGCCGCGUGAGUGAUGAAGGCCCUAGGGUUGUAAAGCUCUUUCGCCAGGGAAGAUAAUGACGGUACCUGGAUAAGAAGCCCCGGCUAACUCCGUGCCAGCAGCCGCGGUAAUACGGAGGGGGCUAGCGUUGUUCGGAAUUACUGGGCGUAAAGCGCACGUAGGCGGCUAUCCAAGUUGGGGGUGAAAUCCCUGGGCUUAACCCAGGAACUGCCUUCAAAACUGGAUGGCUAGAGUCCGAGAGAGGUGAGUGGAAUUUCUAGUGUAGAGGUGAAAUUCGUAGAUAUUGGAAAGAACACCAGUGGCGAAGGCGGCUCACUGGCUCGGUACUGACGCUGAGGUGCGACAGCGUGGGGAGCAAACAGGAUUAGAUACCCGAGUAGUCCAAGCCGAA
rnacentral:rRNA from 1 species